rnacentral:rRNA from 1 species
ACCGGAUGCGGAUCUCGAAAGCCUGUCCCAGUUCGGACUGGAGUCUGCAACCCGACCCCACGAAGCUGGAUUCGCUAGUAAUCGCGCAUCAGCCAUGGCGCGGUGAAUACGUUCCCGGGCCUUGUACACACCGCCCGUCAAGCCAUGAAAGCCGGGGGCGCCUGAAGUCCGUGACCGCGAGGGUCGGCCUAGGGUGAAACCGGUGAUUGGGGCUAAGUCGUAACAAGGUAAC